rnacentral:misc_RNA from 1 species
GAUGAAGAACGUAGCGAAACGCGAUAAGUAAUGUGAAUUGCAGAAUCCAGUGAAUCAUCGAAUCUUUGAACGCACAUUGCGCCCGCCAGCAUUCUGGCGGGCAUGCCUGUUCGAGCGUCAUUUCAACCCUCGACCUCCCCUUGGGGAGGUCGGCGUUGGGGACCGGCAGCACACCGCCGGCCCUGAAAUGGUGUGGCGGCCCGUCCGCGGCGACCUCUGCGCAGUAAUACAGCUCGCACCGGGACCCCGACGCGGCCACGCCGUAAAACACCCAACUUCUGAACGUUGACCUCGAAUCAGGUAGGACUACCCGCUGAACUUAAGCAUAUCAAUAAGCGGAGGA